rnacentral:rRNA from 1 species
GACGAACGCUGGCGGCGUGCUUAACACAUGCAAGUCGAACGGAAAGGCCCUGCUUUUGUGGGGUGCUCGAGUGGCGAACGGGUGAGUAACACGUGAGUAACCUGCCCUUGACUUUGGGAUAACUUCAGGAAACUGGGGCUAAUACCGGAUAGGAGCUCCUGCUGCAUGGUGGGGGUUGGAAAGUUUCGGCGGUUGGGGAUGGACUCGCGGCUUAUCAGCUUGUUGGUGGGGUAGUGGCUUACCAAGGCUUUGACGGGUAGCCGGCCUGAGAGGGUGACCGGCCACAUUGGGACUGAGAUACGGCCCAGACUCCUACGGGAGGCAGCAGUGGGGAAUAUUGCACAAUGGGCGGAAGCCUGAUGCAGCAACGCCGCGUGCGGGAUGACGGCCUUCGGGUUGUAAACCGCUUUCGCCUGUGACGAAGCGUGAGUGACGGUAAUGGGUAAAGAAGCACCGGCUAACUACGUGCCAGCAGCCGCGGUGAUACGUAGGGUGCGAGCGUUGUCCGGAUUUAUUGGGCGUAAAGGACUCGUAGGUGGUUGAUCGCGUCGGAAGUGUAAUCUUGGGGCUUAACCCUGAGCGUGCUUUCGAUACGGGUUGACUUGAGGAAGGUAGGGGAGAAUGGAAUUCCUGGUGGAGCGGUGGAAUGCGCAGAUAUCAGGAGGAACACCAGUGGCGAAGGCGGUUCUCUGGGCCUUUCCUGACGCUGAGGAGUGAAAGCGUGGGGAGCGAACAGGCUUAGAUACCCUGGUAGUCCACGCUGUAAACGGUGGGUACUAGGUGUGGGGUCCAUUCCACGGGUUCCGUGCCGUAGCUAACGCUUUAAGUACCCCGCCUGGGGAGUACGGCCGCAAGGCUAAAACUCAAAGGAAUUGACGGGGCCCCGCACAAGCGGCGGAGCAUGCGGAUUAAUUCGAUGCAACGCGUAGAACCUUACCUGGGUUUGACAUGGAUCGGGAGCGCUCAGAGAUGGGUGUGCCUCUUUUGGGGUCGGUUCACAGGUGGUGCAUGGCUGUCGUCAGCUCGUGUCGUGAGAUGUUGGGUUAAGUCCCGCAACGAGCGCAACCCUUGUUCACUGUUGCCAGCACGUUAUGGUGGGGACUCAGUGGAGACCGCCGGGGUCAACUCGGAGGAAGGUGGGGAUGACGUCAAGUCAUCAUGCCCCUUAUGUCCAGGGCUUCACGCAUGCUACAAUGGCUGGUACAGAGAGUGGCGAGCCUGUGAGGGUGAGCGAAUCUCGGAAAGCCGGUCUCAGUUCGGAUUGGGGUCUGCAACUCGACCUCAUGAAGUCGGAGUCGCUAGUAAUCGCAGAUCAGCAACGCUGCGGUGAAUACGUUCCCGGG